CAGGUACAUUAGAAAGAAUUCACAGUUAAACAAGGAAGGAGGAAGGGGAAGCAUCUAGACCCCGAUGAUUUUCCAUUAUGGUUUUAUUCCUCUGAGGUGCACAGCACGUGUCUCAGAAGUGUGAAGUUGUGCGGCAUGGGCAUUUCGAUUCCAGAAUAAGUCUAGUAGAUGAAGAAAAAGUAUUUUGAGUUACUUCCAUCACAGAACAGCAGAAUGACAAGGGAAGAAGAAUAAGUUCCUUGCCGUACUCACUUGAAUG